UUAAGCCAUCAUGGCAGAAGUGAAUGGAUGCAAACCAGGGAAUGUCUCUGUACUUAGCUAUAACCAUACAGGCUCCAUCAUACCACAGUGGCUCCCUUCACAGAGGAGGCGCAAACUGAAAGCUCUCAGAGCUCUGAUGUCUACGGCUGUGGAUUGUGGAAAGCAGUGAGGUUCCUCUGCCUGGAAGGGACUACUGGCUUUCCUGAGCCACUUAAUGUGACUUCCCAUGAAGACCUCAAUUUUUUCAGAGCUGCAGAGUCACUCAAAAUAAUGGAUGGGCUCAUCCAAAGAAAUCAAUUGAUGCCCCUGUUGAUAAUGCACACUGACCCGUAUUCUCUGCUGAUUAAAAGUCUGGAAAGAGCAUCACUCUGAAGGUCAAGAUAGAAGAGUUCUCCUUCUUGCUUUAUCAGACCCCGACACUCUGUUUGCAGACCACUGGUUCACUUCUCUGAAAAAGUGGAGGCUGGUGAGGUCAGUGGUUUUCUAACUGCUUCCUCCAGAUGCAAAGACUCCUCCUACUCCCGCCACCCCACUGUUCA